UGGGGAAUUUUGGACAAUGGGCGAAAGCCUGAUCCAGCAAUGCCGCGUGUGUGAAGAAGGCCUUCGGGUUGUAAAGCACUUUUGUCCGGAAAGAAAUCCUUGGCUCUAAUACAGUCGGGGGAUGACGGUACCGGAAGAAUAAGCACCGGCUAACUACGUGCCAGCAGCCGCGGUAAUACGUAGGGUGCAAGCGUUAAUCGGAAUUACUGGGCGUAAAGCGUGCGCAGGCGGUUUGCUAAGACCGAUGUGAAAUCCCCGGGCUCAACCUGGGAACUGCAUUGGUGACUGGCAGGCUAGAGUAUGGCAGAGGGGGGUAGAAUUCCACGUGUAGCAGUGAAAUGCGUAGAGAUGUGGAGGAAUACCGAUGGCGAAGGCAGCCCCCUGGGCCAAUACUGACGCUCAUGCACGAAAGCGUGGGGAGCAAACAGGAUUAGAUACCCUGGUAGUCCACGCCCUAAACGAUGUCAACUAGUUGUUGGGGAUUCAUUUCCUUAGUAACGUAGCUAACGCGUGAGGUUGACCGCCUGGGGAGUACGGUCGCAAGAUUAAAACUUAAAUGAAUUGACGGGGUCAUAGCUGUUUCCU
rnacentral:rRNA from 1 species